ensembl:lncRNA
AGAUAAUAUAGAAGACAGCGCGCUAGCGUAUCUAGUCUGUGUGUAUCUAUGGUCGGCACGUCUGGUAGCAUCUGUGGCUGCUGUUGACCUUGUUUUUGGAGUAAAACACGGUGGAAGCUGAAUUAGUGAGGAUGACUCCUGCUCCUGUCAUCUCUAAGCUCCUCACACAUCUUUACCUGCACAUGAGGAAAAUCACUCCUGUAGAAUGCAGAUGCACAAUGAGGGACGUCUGCAGAGACUGAGAAAGAGUCUCACCACAUCCUGACAUGAGGAAAAAGACUUUAUUGAAGACUACAAUGAGAAAAACUAUCAGACAGCAGACGGCUGCAUUCAAGUCUGUAGCUGCUGAAUUCAUGGAUGAAUCAUCUGGCACUAGAGAAGAAGACCAUCAAACAUCCACGUCAGCUGAUGGAGGUCCAAGAGUCUCACCGAACAACCAACCUACAGAGUGAAGACCUCAAAUCUGAUUGGACGGCCUCCUAUUCAGCCACAUGUGUGAACAAAUGCCUCUAAGCUGAUUUGUUUUCUAAAAUAAAUCUAGUUUGAGUCCUAAUCUAUGCCUGUGUGUUUGCUUCUUUACACCGCUGUUAACAGUUUAGGCUGUUAGAUUGUUCCAGAUAAGACAAGUACAAGAUUCUUCAGAGCCGUUCUACCACGAGCCUGACAGGAAGAACUCCAACAGCUACUGAAUGUUCCUGUGGUUCCCUCAAGGCUACAGGAGGAGCCCUACGAGGACGAGCCGGUCCACCUGAUGGUGGCCAGUCGCUGCGGUUCAAAGCCAACACCGACUACGUGGACUUCUACUGGACCACACGGAGGCCUUCAAACCGGACCAACAAGUUCAGCGACUCCCCGACUCGUGGGUCUGAGGACGCCGCCGAGCCUCGGUCCAGCCGGCCUCCUGUCUGUGGGUGUUUGAGUGCUGAGAGGUUUGUGGAUGCAUGUGAACGUGUCUGUGUUGAAACAGCAGCUUUUGACUCAGUAACGCUGGGAAAAACCAAGAGCUCCUUUAUUUGUGACUUCCACUAAAAAAAACUGAUGAAAAUAAGUUUGCCAGGGUUCUGACUGAUAACAGAUUAUUAAAUAAUGAAAAUAAUCGUUUAAAUAUUCCUUUAAACAAUCCUUUUAGGUCUACAUUUCCUUUACACUGACUUCUUGGUAUAUGUACAAGUAUUUUGGGUGGAAUAUACCAUUAAGCC